rnacentral:rRNA from 1 species
AUUGAACGCUGGCGGCAGGCCUAACACAUGCAAGUCGAACGGAUGAAGGGAGCUUGCUCCUGGAUUCAGCGGCGGACGGGUGAGUAAUGCCUAUGAAUCUGCCAGGUACUGGGGGAUAACGUCCGGAAACGGGCGCUAAUACCGCAUCCGCCCUGCGGGACAAAGUGGGGGAUCUUCGGCCCCCGCGCUAUCAGAUGAGCCUGGGUCGGAUUAGCGAGGUGGUGGGGUAAAGGCCUACCCAGGCGACGGUCCGUAACUGGUCUGAGAGGAGGAUCAGUCCCAGUGGGACUGAGACACGGUCCAGACUGCUACGGGAGGCCGCAGUGGGGAAUAAUGGACAACAGGCGAGAGGCUGAUCCCGCCAUGGCGGGUGGGUGGAGGAGGUCUUCGGAGUGGAAAGCACUUUAAGUUGGGAGGGAGGGCAGUAAGUUAAUACCUUGCUGUUUUGACGGUACCAAGAGAAUAAGCACCGGCUAACUUCGUG